AUUAGUUUUAGUCUAGUUUUAGUCACAUUUAAGAGCCAUAUUAAACUCCUUUUCUUCCCUUCUCAGGCCCAGGGACCCCCUGUGUUGUGUCUACAGCUGCAUAAUAGUCUAGCUUGCAGUACUAGGUUGUUAUUUUAACAAAUAGCAAAUCAUUUAUUUGCAAGGCAAUUUAACAAAUUGGCAAACAACUUCAUGAGGACCAGGGACCUAAACGCAACACUUUGUUGUCUUUGUCUGUUUACUUGCAACGCUUUUGACACUUCAUGGUCCUUUAUUGUUUCCACUGUCCCAACAAAAGAGCCCUUAACGUCCUACAAUCGCUGCAAUACAUUAUUUUCUUGGCUUCAGAACCUGCAAUGAGUUUAUUACGUUAGAAGCGUCUCAUCCAGCCGAGGAAACGCUGCCUGCCGUCGCCAGAGAACAGAGCAGAAAGGUCCGACAGUCUUUAAACGUGUCUUCGUGUUUCUGUGAAGCAGCGGCUUCAGCCUGCUGACAGUCAGCUAACCAGAGACAGCCGAGCUAAACUAACGAAGCCACAUUCAAACUCGCCGAAGCUAAAAUAGUCGUUGCGGUCCGUAGUCGGUGCACAAGGAUGACGUCAUCAUAACGCGUUAAUGUCCGCCGUACUUUGCCGGUCUGUUGUCUGUCAGCUCCGUGUGCGAAUUUAGGGGGAAAAGUAUCGUGACUUCGUCAACCACCAACAUGUUCGUCUCGUCUCGUUAACGAAAGUUAGAAUAGAUUUAGUCAUAGUUUUUUAUUUUUUAAGAUUGUUUUCGUCUUGUCUUAGUCUCGUCUCAGUCAUGGAAAAAAGGUUCGUUAACAAAAAAAAUUCGGCAUAGUUUUCGUCGACGAAAUGAACACUGGAGGUCUGGAAUCCCCGGGCCAGCCUGCUGCCUCUGCAACUCAGAGGUAGAAGAAGAUAAGGUCAAGUUCAGGGUCAAAGGUGGUUCCUACAAGUUGGUAAAAUAGCGUUGUGCGUCUCUGUGUGUGUGUGUGUGUGUGUGUGUGUGUGUGUGUGUGUGUGUGAGAGAUAUCUGGGCAGCUAGGAAAUCAGUGUGUAAUCGGUUUCUCACUCCACUAUCAGCUGUAUACGUGGAGGUUAAUGGAGUUAUCAAGAAAGAUACGGAUAUCAAAUUAAUUCACUUUGCCUUCGCGUCUCCAAAACACAGACACACACACAUACGUAGCCUUCUCAUUAUUCACUUACCCUGUUACCGUAGAUCAAAGAAAUAUUACAUUAUUGUUUCACUUUCCAAAGUAUCUUAAUGUUGCAACGAUUUGGUGUCCCAACCUCUUUGUGUAACAUCUGCAUUCUCUCUGGUGACCACCAGGGGGCGACUCCUCUGGUCCUAUAGAAGUCUAUGAGGAAAUUACUCCCUCAGAAAACAUUGUAAACAUGAUUUAUUAUUUACUAUAAAUAUUAUGUAUUCAUGUCAUAUCUAGUCUCAAGUUCUUGAGGAUGAUGAUGAUUAUGGUGAAUUCUGAGAUAUUGACCAUAUAGCAGGAGAUGCUAUUUGGGCGGGGCUACACUCUGAUUGACAGGUCUCUACCAUGUUGUUUUGCAACGUGAUAGUUUGCUCUGUUUCAGUUUAACUUUCUAAAUGUGUCAUAUUCACGUCUAAAGGUCACCUCGAGUCCUCGGUUUCAAGGACGCACACUCAGCAGUGCGACCUCACCUUCGGUUGUAAUGCAUGCGUUGUCUUUCCUUCUAACCGGGUCGCACACACACUCAACAUCUGAUUCCCCUCCACCUCCCUCCACCUUUACACAUUCGUCAAUGCUCAAGGCUUUUAAAUGGCCGAUAGGUCACGUUGUACAAAAUGGCCGCGGCGUAGCUACGGGCCCGAUGGGGUUGUUGAUCGAUGCCGGUGACUCAGCAGUUGCUCCGCACGCUGCUCAGGUUUCUGCCCCUUCAACGUUCACUCGCUCUGUAACUUGAAAGCGUUACAAACAAUGUCAGAGGCUGCGAUUAACGCACGCAGGUUUGGAGGCUACGAAGGCCUAUUUUGUGUUUCUCCCACGUUAUUGACGGCGCUCUCUUGAGCUCUGACAGAAAUAGCUCACGUCUCCCAGACACACACAAACACACACGUACAAACAAAUCAUUUACCCUCCCUCCCUCCCCAGAUUUAUUUUUCAAUUAUUCUCCUGUCAGAACUGUUAGAUAUAAAAAACUGUUUAGGGUUCACAAAAUGCCAAACUGAACGGAAAGUUCAUUGAGUCUGGAACACUUUUGCACUUAAAUAAUCAGAGAUACACAUCGUCAUCUGUGGCCACAGCUCUCUAUUCUCCAAAUCCAGCCGAUUCCGACUGUCGACAGGAACCCCCCCCCCCCUGCGCUCCUCCAUUCAGCACUUAUCUGCGUCGCUCAGGAGCCUCUGCAAACACAGAUGAAGUGAACGCGGUUGAUCUCCACGGGACAAUUUGGGUCAUUGUGGCGGCAGGAAAUGGCGGAGGAUGAUGGAGAGCAAAGAGCAAAGCAGAUUCUAAGCGGUACAAAGAAAGAUAAAUCAAAGAGGUCGCAUCCGUGAGGGGAGACGGACCUAAAUUGAAUUUGCGGAGUGACGACCGCUCACAUGUGAACCCAUUACGGAAAGCCCGCAGUUACGGGGUAUCAAAUACCGCGGUGUCAGCAGCCGUUGGGGGAGGUAUAGGUGCACUUACAAGUCUGCGACGUGGAGCCGGAGUGUGUGAAGGCUUCAUUUGCCGCUCCUCCCUCACAGAGAAACACAAUGGAUGUGUGUUGUUGUGGUGCCGCUGAGGGAGAAGAUGGCUCAUAGGAAAACUGGUUACACUCCGACGCAGGGUGUAAUUUCUCCCCAUCUGUCACUUCCCCUCUGCUGCUGUGAUUUCUGGGUAUUUGUGAUGGUUUUCCUCCGUCUUCUACAUCCUUUUUAUCUCCCCCUGCUCCCUGUCCUCGCUGCUCCUUUGCCGCACACAAACAAUAAAGGGCCCUCUGCAGACCCUCGCAUACGGGCCCAUUUGUACAGGACACGAAUUAGAUAUUGAGCCAGAGAGAAGGGGGGGAGCGAAAGGGGGAGUACGGAGGGGUGAGGGAGGGAGUCGAGGAGCCGAGGGACAUCAGCCAAGUGUGACAGCGGAGUCGUAUUUCUUUCCCCGGCCGUCCGCUGUGGACUCUGAGCUGAAUACUGAGUGCGCCCACUGCAGAGCCCCGAGGACAGACUCCGCCUCCGGAGAGAGGAAAGGCCACCCCCCCUCCACCCCCACCCCCGCAUCGGCCCGAGGACCAGAUGAACCCGCACCGGCUCCAGAAUCUGCUCCCGAUACCAAUUAAUGAUGCAGAGGCAACGUUAGAAUUAGCAACUGAGGUGCUGUUAACGGUUUCCAUGACAACAACCAUCUCCACUUCCUCCUUCAUUCUCGUGGCUUAUCUAGGUACAAAACAACGUCAGAAUCGGGUCCGGUAGCGUGACGCCAAUGUAGAAAACGCCUCAAGACUCGCGUUCUCUCUAAUGUCCAUCAGGGGGCGACACCUCCGGAUGAUAAAAGACGUGCGCUAUACGCAAAGCCAUUCGGUUCCCCGGAGUUUAUAGUUCAUAUUAGAAAUAUAGGAGAGUUAUAAUAAAACGUGAAGGUGUAUAUAUUUAUAGUGUGUAACAAAUAUGUAGAAUAUUAAUCUGUGUGAUGAAACCGUACAUGACAGAACUGCAAAGUGUCUUCCGGUCUCCUCUCACCGGACUUUCCAGCAGCCGCAUCGCUUUGUCUUAAUUAACCAGAAAAGAGAUUUUGAGACAAACUAUAUGAGAGGAAUUCCAAAUCAUCCUGCUUGGCAACGGCAUCCCCAGAAACUGCGAUGCCCAGACUCACAGAUGCUCCCUAAUGGAACUGGCAAAACAUCCUUACCGGACAUCGGCCCGGUCCAACCAAACGAAUGAACCAAAGCUGCACUACUUCAGGGAAAUUAGUGCACGGAUGCUUGCACGAUGGCACAGAAACUACAGAUUACAUUUUAUGUUCAUGUUCUUCUACCCCAAAAUUCAGCAAUCCUUCCCCGUUUGUAUGAUUCAGUGACUAAGACACGCCGGCUUUGACCUGAACCCUCCGACUGACCUGCACGCAUGAGAACAGCUGGAAGAGAAAUAACUGAUCUUAUUCUUUACUUGAUACAAUUACCAUUGAGUUUAGUCAUUAUCUUUACUUUAAAUCACAACCUCAUGUUCCGUGAUUAUUGUGUUACGUUGUUGUGUUCUAUGCUUACGAUACAGUCGUGUUCAGAAGAAUUUAAACUGUUACUGUAUUCUGUGGUGGUGUAUUUUACUGAUCAUUGUUUUGUCUAAGAUAUUUUAGCACUUUUGGCUGUUAGAAAAAUCUCAUAUGGUAUAAUAUCUACUUGUCCGCGAGAAAUAGAAAGCACCAAUCAAAUGGCGAGCUGUGAGCACAAACAACACACAUGUUCGUGGUCAUUCGUGGGAUCAUUUUUGGGGGCGGGGCUUUGGAAAGCAGCUGGCGACACUUGGUUGCUCUCUAAAUCCAGCUUACCGCUGCUACAUUUUGAAUUUGAAAUUCUCGUACAAAAAGAGGAGGUCGUGCUUUACAUCCACAUCGCUCGUCGUUAGACGCCCAAAAUAAAAACUAAAGUUAGAUCAGAGGAAAGUAAGAAUCAACAGUGGAGGUGAUUAUGCCGUGACUCUCCCAAUGAUGAACAGACAGCAGAUGCGUCUCUCUCGUGUUCACAGGGUAAAUACCGCGGGACGCAGAAAGUUCACUGGAUUAGCGGCUCGCUCAUUCAUGGGCCGCGCUGCCGAAACCUUAUCGCUGACAGGGAUCAAGGCUUGCUGCCAGCUUAAUUGCAGAGGGAGGUCGCUGGGGGGGGAGUACAUACAAAGUUAAUUAAAAAACU
ensembl:lncRNA